UAGAGCGGGACGCACGGACGGACAAUCGAGCCGUUAUUCAGUCAAUGUGAUCGCUUGAAACGGCGAGCGCGUGAACUUUAAAAAAAAACUUAAACAUUUUCGAUUGUCUAUGUACCCGUGUGACAGCGCGCGAAUUUCAAAACAACGUUCCAUUUCGCCACCAUUUUAAAUUAGGUCGUUUAUCGUGUACAGAUUGGAUUAUUAGGUGUUUUAUUAUACGCCGAUUGGAUUACUUAAGUUUGGAGUUUAUAGUAAAAAGUUUUUGUAUGUGGGUGUUUUAUAGUGUUGUAUGUUCAGUAGUAUAAAGUGAAGUGAGAAAAGUUAUAGCGUUGAAUGAGAUGUGUCAAUGGAGUGAGCGCAUGCGUAAGCGCGUUUCCAUUCAUAAGAUUAUGUUAGGUACUUACUGAAGUGAACUGCUUCAAUCUCUGUUGCGUGAUAAAUGAGAUCGCCUGUUCGUGACAAUCACCAAUGAUAAGAAACAUGAGAACGCCUGUCUAACCAACAGUCCAAAAUUAGAAUCAGUGAUCUCGAAAUGGAGAUGGAGGCCAGACCAACCAGCUGAUAGGCACUCCGAAGCGUGGAAGC